rnacentral:rRNA from 1 species
AGGGCGAACGCUGGCGGCGUGCUUAACACAUGCAAGUCGAGCGGAAAGGCCCUUCGGGGUACUCGAGCGGCGAACGGGUGAGUAACACGUGAGUAAUCUGCCCCUAGCUCUGGGAUAGCUCCGGGAAAACCGGGAUUAAUACUGGAUACGACCACCUUAGACAUCUUUUGUGGUGGAAAGAAUUUCGGCUAGGGAUGAGCUCGCGGCCUAUCAGCUUGUUGGUGGGGUAACGCCUACCAAGGCGACGACGGGUA